GAUGAACGCUGGCGGCGUGCCUAAUACAUGCGAGUCGAGCGAACAGACGAGGAGCUUGCUCCUCUGACGUUAGCGGCGGACGGGUGAGUAACACGUGGAUAACCUACCUAUAAGACUGGGAUAACUUCGGGAAACCGGAGCUAAUACCGGAUAAUAUAUUGAACCGCAUGGUUCAAUAGUGAAAGACGGUUUUGCUGUCACUUAUAGAUGGAUCCGCGCCGCAUUAGCUAGUUGGUAAGGUAACGGCUUACCAAGGCAACGAUGCGUAGCCGACCUGGGAGGGUGAUCGGCCACACUGGAACUGAGACACGGUCCAGACUCCUACGGGAGGCAGCAGUAGGGAAUCUUCCGCAAUGGGCGAAAGCCUGACGGAGCAACGCCGCGUGAGUGAUGAAGGUCUUCGGAUCGUAAAACUCUGUUAUUAGGGAAGAACAAAUGUGUAAGUAACUAUGCACGUAUUGACGGUACCUAAUCAGAAAGCCACGGCUAACUACGUG
rnacentral:rRNA from 1 species